GACGAACGCUGGCGGCGUGCUUAACACAUGCAAGUCGAACGGGAUUUAGUAAACAGAAACCUCGGUGGAAGAUUACUAAUGAGAGUGGCGAACGGGUGAGUAACGCGUGAGCAACCUGCCUAUGACAGUGGGAUAGCCUCGGGAAACCGGGAUUAAUACCGCAUAAAAUCGUAGAAACACAUGUUUUAACGGUCAAAGAUUUAUCGGUCAUAGAUGGGCUCGCGUCUGAUUAGCUAGUUGGUGAGAUAACAGCCCACCAAGGCGACGAUCAGUAGCCGGUCUGAAAGGAUGAACGGCCACAUUGGAACUGAGACACGGUCCAAACUCCUACGGGAGGCAGCAGUGGGGAAUAUUGCACAAUGGGGGAAACCCUGAUGCAGCGACGCCGCGUGAACGAAGAAGGUAUUCGUAUCGUAAAGUUCUGUCCUAUGGGAAGAUAAUGACAGUACCAUAGAAGAAAGCUCCGGCUAAAUACGUG
rnacentral:rRNA from 1 species